GGGGAAAGGCAAAUUUUCGGACUCAAAAUCCGCCGACCUUACGGUCAUAGGGGUUCGAUUCCCCUCCCGAGUACCA
rnacentral:tRNA from 1 species